AUCAGUUUUUAUACGAACGGAUAAGUAAAUUGAAAUCACAACUUAUGAAAUCACAACCGAAGGUAAUCAAUUCAUAUUACAAAUAUAUUCAUGGUUUCGAAUUAACCUCUAGCCAAAAUAAAAUUAAUUACACAUUAUUAAAAUAAAAAUAAAAUAGGAGUUUGGAAAGAUUAAACCGAAAGAAAGGAUCUGCUGCUUGGACUCUGAACUGCAUUUUCAUGCUGACCUCCUGUCCUCCUCGCCACUGACUUCCCUUCUCUCCGCAGCUUCACGCUGCCCAAAGGGCAGCCCUCUGCCUUCCACCAAUUCCCCCCCUCCUUCUCUCUUCUGCCAAUCCCAUCUAUAUCCUCAUGCUCCUGACCUCCUCCUUAUUUCUUUUUUUUCUAUUUUAUUUUUUUUUGUUGCUGUCCACCACAUUCUCUGCGCCUACUGCGCUCCCAGCUGUCUCUCCUGCUUUCCACUGACUUUUCCCGCUCCCACUUCUCUCUAUCCUCUUUCUGCUGCCGCAAGGCAGCUGUCUGCUUGCUGCUUCUCUCUCCCUUUUUCUGCUUGUUUAUAUUUUUUUUUUUCUUCUUUUCCUUUUCCUUCUUUUCCUUUUCCUUUCUUUUUCUUUUCUUUCUUUUUCUUUUCUUCUUUGCCGUUCCUUUCUUCUUCUACAAAACAUGAAUCAUGAUGAUGUUUCAAACAUCAUCAUGACUUGUUAUUAUUAUUAUAUAUUUAUUUAUUUUUAAUUUUAUUUAAAAGCUGAUCUACACAGACAGUUUUGACGAAUUUAUUACAUAAAAUUUCACUUGUUCUAUUUUUAUUUUCUUUGCAUAACAAAUCCUAUAAACACAAAAAUAACGUAAAUAGCUCAAAAAUAUAAGGAACUAACUAAGAAAAGACGAGUGAAUUCGAAGUAAAAAUAUAUAUAAAUAUCAUCCGAUCAAAUACCCCCACACUUAACUUUUGCUAGUCCUCGAGCAAAACAAAGAAAACUAGAACAAGAAGUAACAAGAAAAACAUUAGCUUCCCCCUAUGUGACCCUCAUAGAAUUUCAUUCGAGAAAACAAAUCAUCAAGAACCAUAGCUAGCAUCAAGGAAAUAAUCCAAGUUCAUCUUCCUUAUUCAAAUAUUAGCAGUAAUCUUUAAAUCAUCCUUGAAGUGUAGUGUGUGAGAUAGCCAUGCUAAUGCAAUUUCAAGUUUUUAUUUUUAAAAUCAUCAUAUGCAAACUAGCGACCUUCUCACGGGAUAUGCACUCAAUCACACAUGUGUUUAGUUUUAAUGUGUUUCGCUCAAAGAAUCAAAUGUGAAAUUUCUACCAUAAGCUUGCAUAAAGAUCACUUCUCCACAGUCAUAAUUGCAAAACUUAAAUCAAGAGGACUUUUAUUGGAUGUAAUGAGGCUUAGGGAUAGGGUUAUUGAAAUGAAAGAAUAGGAAAACACAAGUUCCAAGCUAUAUUGCAAGCAAUUCUUUUGUUUAGAUUUAUAAGAACUCAAUUUUUUCAGCGAUUCUUCUAGCACCUCCAACCAUACCCUUAAACUGAAACUUUAAAAACUUUUUAUUUUCUUUGUAUACAAUCUUUCUUUUUCUUUUCUUUUUUUCUUCUUUUUUUUUAUUUUUUUUUAUUUUUAUUUUUUUUAUACAAACAUGAAAUACCCCCACACUUAUUCUUUUGCCAAACACCUUCAAAGUACUUCACAAACAUUUCUCAUAAGACAAUCUCACAUUGCUCACUUGGAAAGGGUAAGGAAAAAAUGUUUCAGGCAUAAGGGUAGACAUAUCUGGUGAUAAGAAAUAAAAGGCUCAACAUACACGGCUCAAAUUGGCAAUCUAAUGAUAUCAUUUUCUUUGGGAAACAUAGUUAUUUGGGCCAUAGUGGUAAACCUAAUGCCUCUAUCAUUUCCAAGUUCAUGCAAUCAAUGACAAACAUUUCGAAAGAUCGUUACGCAAGUUCUAGAGAUGUAUCUCACAUAAGUUCAUCACACAUGAAAGAAUAGGAGUGUAUGAAAAAUGCACACUUUCAAUAGGCUCAAAAACUCACAUAGGAUGUAUAUGGUCACUAAAUUCACAUAUGAAGCUUUAAGUCAUACUUUAGUUUCACAUUAACAAGGCUAUGUGCAUUUGGUUUUUCAAAGAUGGUCAAACAUGUACAAAACUAACAAGAGAAUUAGGAAUUUCACCAAAACACAUGUUAACUAAGUUCUUGAUGAUCAUGGUUCAAAUUUUUGAUCCAAUUAUAUCAUUGGGUCGGGAAACUAACAAAAAUCUGAUUCAGAACAAUAAGGGAAACAAGACAAUAUUUUUUGGAUUUUUAAAUUUUUCGAUUUUUUUUUUUUUUUUUUUUUUUUUUUUUAAGAAAACAAAAACUAACAACACAGAAACAAAUGAAAUUCUAGAGAUUUCUACCCCCACACUUAAACUUGACAUUGUCCCCAAUGUCAGAAAACACUAUAACGCAAAUAAAAAUAAAAUAAAUAAAUAAAUAAUAAGAAACAAAAUAAAAACAAUGGGACUGAAAACUUCCCUAAUUUGCAGUAAAAUCAAGCGAUGACCCCCAAGCUAAAAUUCUGCAAUCAACUUCAAGGGUGGAAAUAACCAAAAGUUUCCUGCAAAGAAAAGAAAUAAUACAGUUAAGUACGCAAGAAAAUUAAUUAAAAAAAAAAAAAUUGCAAACGAAAAAUUGAAAAUUACGAUAAAAAGAUAAUGAAUAAAACUAAUAAGUAAUCAUUGGUCGUGCUUGUUGACUUUCCACAGCUUUCCUCUUGAACAGGGUGACACUUAGCUUUUUUACUAUUUGAUGAUAUUGUACGGCGGAGCUUUGCUCUUUGGGAAUGUUGCAGUUCCUUAUUUGUUCUCCAAGCAGAUGUGGCAGCUUCUCUAGUUCCUCAGUUCGGACUCCUUCCGCUGGGAUGAUUGUGCAAGCUGCAUUCUUCUCUGCUUGUUUCUUCUGCACAACGGGCAGGCACGAGGGAAAGGUGUUGGUCCUUAUUUCUUUCUUCAAUCUUUCCAAGUGCCCACCUCUUGCUUUCUUUCUCCUUGUCCCUAGCUGAAUUGUCUCCACAUGCUUCGAGGUAUCAUUUUCACUUUCCUUACUGUCCCCCAGGCAGAUGUGGUAGACGAAGAGAAAGCAUAAAAUGAUGAAGAUGAGUACUCGAGAGCAAGGCUAGGUAAGCAAUCAGGAAAGGGUUCCAGGCAGUUGGCUCCAGAUUGGAAGAUUGAUACCAAAUGCUGGCUGAUUGCUCUCUUUCUCCUUGUCGGAAAACAAAGACAAGGAGAAGGACAUGGAGAAAGCAUGAUAUGAGAUACUCUUGCUUUCAACCUUUAUGAUAUGAAAUACUUUUGCUUUGAAUGGGUUGUUCGCAGGAGUAUCCCAAGGAAUGAGGAACACAGAGUGACUCGAGAGGAUUCUUUGGGAAUGCAUUUUCGGAGAUGAAGAGGUGUUGAGAGGGUGUGCUGAGAGAGUGUGCUUUUGCUGUGGAAGGCGAAGGUAGAAACUUAUAGGACUUGUCUUCACAACCGGAACUGUUCUCUCACUUAGUGUCGGCAGCCGGUGGAUGGGUGAAGAAUACAAAUUACGCGCUUUCUGACAAAGCUGCCCGUAAUUUCCGCAAAGCUGCCAGUUGCAUGUGACAAGUGCUGACUAGGCUGAGAGAGACAGAUGGUUGGAAUCGGCACUUCGACAGACUGCCCGUGAUUUUCGCAGAGCUGAGUUUGCGUGUGACGGGUGACAACACGUCUGGACGAAUUGAUCUUGCGAAAUCCGGGGUUCGGCUCGUGGUUUCUGAGCAAGCCCAACUUUUAAGAAAUGAACGCCUCUUUUGAGAAAAGAAUCCGGCUUUUGAGAACGGAAACUCCUCUUUUGAGAAAAGAAUCCGGCUUUUGAGAAAGGAGCCCCGACUCUUCGAUUUGCGAGAUGACGCUUCUCUGAGGAGCGCCUCUUUGAUUUCUUCUUUUUAUAGAGGCGUUAAUUUUGUUCCACAACACACUUGAGUACCCUCCUGUAAACACUCCCAUCUUGCACUUGUUUAAUCUUGAUCAGUCCAACUCUCUUCUUUCUUUACCACCUCUGAAAAAUGUCUGGCCCUUCUGAUCGUCGUUUUGACUUGAACAUUGGUGAAGAGGCAGCUCCGCCUUCACCAGACAACAUAUGGCGGCCAUCCUUCAUAUCCCCUACCGGUCCCCUUACCGUGGGGGAUUCGAUGAUGAAAAAUGACAUGACCGCUGCGGUGGUGGCCCGAAACCUUGUCACUCCCAGAGAUAACAGACUGCUCGCAAGGCGGUCUGAUGAAUUGGCGGUCAAGGAGUCUCUGGCUCUCAGUGUGCAGUGUGCGGGUUCCGUAUCCAACAUGGCCCAACGCCUAUAUGCCCGAACCCGUCACGUUGAAUCCUUGGUGGCUGAAAUACAGAGUCUCAAGUAAGAGAUUAAAGGGCUCAAGCAUGAGAAUAAGGAAUUGCACAAGCUCGCACACAGCUAUGCCACCAGCAUGAAGAGGAAGAUUGACCAGAUGCAGGACACCGAUGGUCAAAUUUUACUUGAUCAUCGGAGGUUUGUGGGUUUGUUCCAACAACAUCUGCCUUCGUCUUCUGGAGCGGCACCGCGUAGUGAAGCUCCAACUGAUCAACCUAUGCCGCCUCCUCCUUCUGUGGCCCCGCCGACUGCUGAAGCCCCGCCCGACCAAUGAAUACUAUUAGUUUACAUCAUUGUAAAAUAUUUGUACUUUUUUUUUUUUAUUUUUUUAUUUUUUUAUAAAUGUAAAUUAAUGUAAAGAGACUUUGGUUAACCUUCCCACACUUAAACUAAAUAACACAAACUCACAGAAAUCAAACAAAUAACACAACUAACUAAACAAGACAAAAUGAAAGCAUUAAAGAUAAGGGUGUAAAAAUGCAAAUCUGAUUGGGUUAGCGAUUCCAAAGUCUCCCUUCGUUGAAUGCUUGGGUUGCCUCCCAAGAAGCGCUUGAUUUAACGUCUUUAGCCGGACGCAUCUUUCCUUUAAAUUUCCCUCGGCUCCAUUUGAACCUAAAAUCAAAGAAAGAAAAAUAAAUCAAAUAUCAAAAGUAAAAUACACAAACACCAAUAUAAACAUAAACAAAAACAAAAAUAAAAGGAUUAGCAAAGUUGCUAAUCCCCGGCAACGGCGCCAAAAUUUGAUGCGUAAAAUAAGUUAACACACAAAAUUAAACCCUCUUUUUGACAAUUGUAGUAUAGAUGUAAGUAGGGUAUCGUUCUAGGCCGGGGAUUAGGAGGGAUUGCUAAUCUAUUAAAUUAACUUAAAAAUAUUAAAUAAGACUCAAGGACACAAAACUAGGCUAAAAACUCUAAUAACUCGAAACACACUUAAAAUGACUCAAAAUAAUGAAAACAAUUAAAUUAAACACUAGGAACUGAAAUGGACGGAAAUUAAAUUAAAAGACUAACAAUAAAGAAAACUAAAUAAAUAAUAUAAUUUAAUAAUGGAUGGGUGUUUGGUUUUGAUGAAAAGUAAAUUAAACUUAAUUAAAUUACAGAAUUGACAAAAACAUGAAAUUAAGGUGAAAUGAUAAAUGACGGACUAGCUAGAGGGUUCUUCUCCACACAUGACACAUAUGCAACCUAAAUUGAUUUUCAGUUGUUCUUUCAAUAAAUUGUGAAUCUCAAUACUCCAGAUUAACCGUGAAUAGCACUUUUUUAAUCUUCAAGUUUUCCUUAAGUUAUUGAAUUGGACGGAAAAACGCAUACAACAAUUCAAAACAUUCUUCAAAAGUCCCCUACGUGAAAAAGCACAAUAGCGAUACAAUCAAAGAUCAUUAAACUUUGUGAAAACUAUAAGCAUUGACGAGGCAUUCGUAACUAUGAAAAAGCAUGAUACUCUUGCCAAGAAUUUACUUAACGUGAUUGUGACUAGCAACCUUUACUACUUGUGAAAAUAAGUUCAUAACGAUUAGGUGAAAUUCACUUAUAUUCUAGCAUCAAAUUCAUGCAUGUAAAUUAAGCGUGCACUCUCAACCAACAUACACAAAUCAGUUUUUAUACGAACGGAUAAGUAAAUUGAAAUCACAACUUAUGAAAUCACAACCGAAGGUAAUCAAUUCAUAUUACAAAUAUAUUCAUGGUUUCGAAUUAACCUCUAGCCAAAAUAAAAUUAAUUACACAUUAUUAAAAUAAAAAUAAAAUAUGAGUUUGGAAAGAUUAAACCGAAAGAAAGGAUCUGCUGCUUGGACUCUGAACUGCAUUUUCAUGCUGACCUCCUGUCCUCCUCGCCACUGACUUCCCUUCUCUCCGCAGCUUCACGCUGCCCAAAGGGCAGCCCUCUGCCUUCCACCAAUUCCCCCCCUCCUUCUCUCUUCUGCCAAUCCCAUCUAUAUCCUCAUGCUCCUGACCUCCUCCUUAUUUCUUUUUUUUCUAUUUUAUUUUUUUCUGUUGCUGUCCACCACAUUCUCUGCGCCUACUGCGCUCCCAGCUGUCUCUCCUGCUUUCCACUGACUUUUCCCGCUCCCACUUCUCUCUAUCCUCUUUCUGCU
rnacentral:lncRNA from 1 species